rnacentral:rRNA from 1 species
CACGUAGGCGGCCUGUUAAGUGUGGAGUGAAAUCCCACGGCUCACCCGUGGAACUGCUUCGCAUACUGGCAAGCUCGAGGACGGUAGGGGAGAGCGGAACUCUUGGUGGAGCGGUGAAAUGCGUAGAUAUCAAGAGGAACACCGAUGGCGAAGGCAGCUCUCUGGUCCGUUUCUGACGCUGAGGCACGAAAGCGUGGGGAUCAAACA